GCAAGUCGAGGGGUAACAUUAGUGCUUGCACUAGAUGACGACCGGCGCACGGGUGCGUAACGCGUAUAGAACCUACCUUUUACAGAGGGAUAGCCUUUAGAAAUGAAGAUUAAUAUCUCAUAGUUCCUAAAAUUCUCCUGAAUUUUAGGAUAAAGAUUUAUCGGUAAAAGAUGGCUAUGCGUCCUAUUAGCUAGAUGGUAAGGUAACGGCUUACCAUGGCAAUGAUAGGUAGGGGUCCUGAGAGGGAGAUC
rnacentral:rRNA from 1 species